ACGGUCUGGGGAAAGGCUCCUGUGUGGUUGACCCUGCCCUAGGUGGGUGCAGCCCUGUACCAGACAGCCCGACCUUGACCUAAAGUAAAUUCCCGGAGGAGCAUCCUCCCCGGGGUUUGAAUUUGCAGUAACAGGUGUGAGCAUCUUAGCAGUUUGGUGGUCAUGUAUGAUACUGCAAACAGGA
rnacentral:snoRNA from 14 species